CCUACGGGAGGCAGCAGUGGGGAAUAUUGGGCAAUGGAGGAAACUCUGACCCAGCGACGCCGCGUGCGGGAUGAAGGCCUUCGGGUUGUAAACCGCUUUCAGCAGGGAAGAAGCGAAAGUGACGGUACCUGCAGAAGAAGCACCGGCUAACUAUGUGCCAGCAGCCGCGGUAAUACAUAGGGUGCAAGCGUUGUCCGGAAUUAUUGGGCGUAAAGAGCUCGUAGGUGGUUCGUCACGUCGGAUGUGAAAAUCUGGGGCUUAACCCCAGACCUGCAUUCGAUACGGGCGAGCUUGAGUAUGGUAGGGGAGUCUGGAAUUCCUGGUGUAGCGGUGGAAUGCGCAGAUAUCAGGAGGAACACCAAUGGCGAAGGCAGGACUCUGGGCCAUUACUGACACUGAGGAGCGAAAGCGUGGGGAGCGAACAGGAUUAGAUACCCUGGUAGUCCACGCCGUAAACGGUGGGCACUAGUUGUGGGGACCGUUCCACGGUCUCUGCGACGCAGCUAACGCAUUAAGUGCCCCGCCUGGGGAGUACGAUCGCAAGAUUAAAACUCAAAUUGAAAUUGACGGGCUGAGAGNGCGAGACGACACGAGGAGGAGG
rnacentral:rRNA from 1 species